rnacentral:rRNA from 1 species
GACGAGGGGUCCAAGCGUUGUUCGGAAUUAUUGGGCGUAAAGCGGGUGUAGGUGGCUCUAUAAGUCAGAAGUGAAAGCCCCGGGCUUAACCCGGGAAGUGCUUUUGAUACUGCAGAGCUUGAAUGUGGGAGAGGGUAGUGGAAUUCCAGGUGUAGUGGUGAAAUACGUAGAUAUCUGGAGGAACACCAAUUGCGAAGGCAGCUCGCUGGGACGUUACUGACGCUGAGACGCGAAAGCGUGGGGAGCAAACAGG